rnacentral:lncRNA from 1 species
UCUUGCUUUUUGAUUUUUAUUUUUUAAAAAUUAAAAAUAAAAAAAUAUUUUUUUAAUGGCUAACCAAACGCACCCUUAUUUGGUGAGACCUUAAAUUUAUAACAUUUAUGACCGCUUAAAUUUCAGACGGGUAAAGGACACUGGAGUCCAGCUUCGGUUGCCAGACAUUACCUCAAAGCUUAAGUAAACCCAAAAGCAAAUCUCUUCAAGAUUCAUUCUAACUCACAGAAUCUAGGGGAAUAGAUACGCCCCUGUACUGAAUCGCUGGUAACGGCGGUGAAGACCGGCAGGAC